GGCUGGUCCGAUGGCAGUGGGUUAUCAGAACUUAUUAACAUUAGUGUCACUAAAGUCACCACCACCCCCACACACUGCUAAAUUUGACUGGCUUUAA
ensembl:misc_RNA Y_RNA Y RNA